rnacentral:rRNA from 1 species
GACGAACGCUGGCGGCGUGCCUAACACAUGCAAGUCGAGCGAAUGAAGUUCCUUCGGGAAUGGAUUUAGCGGCGGACGGGUGAGUAACACGUGGGCAACCUGCCUCAUAGAGGGGAAUAGCCUUCCGAAAGGGAGAUUAAUACCGCAUAAGAUUGUAGUAUCGCAUGAUACAGCAAUUAAAGGAGCAAUCCGCCAUGAGAUGGGCCCGCGGCGCAUUAGCUAGUUGGUGAGGUAACGGCUCACCAAGGCGACGAUGCGUAGCCGACCUGAGAGGGUGAUCGGCCACAUUGGGACUGAGACACGGCCCAGACUCCUACGGGAGGCAGCAGUGGGGAAUAUUGCACAAUGGGGGAAACCCUGAUGCAGCAACGCCGCGUGAGUGAUGACGGCCUUCGGGUUGUAAAGCUCUGUCUUCAGGGACGAUAAUGACGGUACCUGAGGAGGAAGCCACGGCUAACUACGUG